GGGCUCGUGGUCUAGCGGCUAUCUUCGUAAAGACUGCAGAUGACAUCGCCUUCACAAGGCGGGGAUCAAGGGUUCGAAAAUAAGUGGCUUUGCCCCUUAUCAACCCCAUACCCUUCGGGGAAAAACGAAAGUCCCUUCGGGCCCA
rnacentral:tRNA from 1 species